GACAGAGGGUGCAAACGUUGUUCGGAAUUACUGGGCGUAAAGCGCGUGUAGGCGGCGCGGUAAGUCGGGUGUGAAAUCUCGGAGCUUAACUCCGAAACUGCAUUCGAUACUGCCGUGCUUGAGGACUGGAGAGGAGACUGGAAUUUACGGUGUAGCGGUGAAAUGCGUAGAUAUCGUAAGGAAGACCAGUGGCGAAGGCGGGUCUCUGGACAGUUCCUGACGCUGAGGCACGAAGGUCAGGGGAGCAAACGGG
rnacentral:rRNA from 1 species